rnacentral:rRNA from 1 species
GACGAACCGUGCGAACGUUGUUCGGAAUCACUGGGCUUAAAGGGCGCGUAGGCGGGCAAGCAAGUCCGGGGUGAAAUCUUUCGGCUCAACCGGAAAAGUGCCUUGGAUACUGCUUGUCUGGAGGGAGGUAGGGCCCGUGGAACUUCCGGUGGAGCGGUGAAAUGCGUUGAUAUCGAAGGAAGCAGCCGGUGCGAAGACGACG